rnacentral:lncRNA from 1 species
GGGAGACCAAACCCCCGCUUUACUGCGUUGAAAGCUUCUGAAUUUCAAGCAGAAAGUAGAAGGAGCUCCAAAGGCAGUGAGCGUCUUUCCUUGGGCUGCGUGUGCCGAGCGUAGACAAUGAAAAUCUUCAUCCCCCUCCCCCAUUCUACUAGGCUACAAGAUUCUUGUUUUCGUUCCUUCUCACCGGUGGAAGAUGUGUAAAAUCAAAGAUGUAGAGGUGUGUAGUGAUUUUUUUAAAAGCCAACUAACCACCGCACGGACUGCGACGCGGAUUACCCGAGCGCACGCCGGCUGGGCGCAUUCUGGGGUCUCUGCGCAAGACCAGCUCUCAGCUCUCUCUCCUUUCCUCGGACUCUGGAGCGGGAGCGGGCCUUUCCCUCGGGUCGACCACGCCGUAGGGGACGCCGUGAAAAGAGCCGUCGCGCCCGCUGCCUCCUGCCCGCUGCGCAGAGGGCUCCGCCCGUAGAGGUCAACUUCCCUCACCCUUUUCUCUCUCCUGCUUGCCCUCCCUCCGCCCGGCCCAGGCGCUUCCAGCCCCAGACUGUGGCCACUGGCUGAGGAGUGCGAGUCGGCUGCGCUGCCCUGAGCCUAAUCCCUCUUCCGGGCCCAGACCCGAGGUCCGCGCUCCUGGGCAGUGGGGAAGCUUUAGUGAGCAGGCUUUUCUCUCCGCAGCAAACUUGUAGCCAGACCAGAUGGGCCGCCCAGCUCUCUCGGGACUAGGCAGGUCUGAAAUUAAAGCUUCUCGGAAUAAUUUAGGAACAGCUUGACCCGUUGAGAUACUCAAGGACAACCCUCCAGGGAAAUAGUAUGUUUCCUUCCUGGGAACAAGAUGCUAGCGCGGUGCACCGGGAGGUAUCUGGUGUCAACAAUGCCAGAGCGCCCUCUGCUGCCUCAAAGAGGCAGGACACCAGUUACAAAAGCCAGAUGGCACAGUGGCAAUAAGCGGAGGAAACAUUAAGCUCUUAGAAACGUUUAAUCUGUGAAAUUUAAAAGCUCUCAUCAUAUUCUACUUUUGAAAGGGCCACCUGAUUUUGAUUUUGAGCACUCCUUGGAUGUUAUCUUCUAUUCUGGAGGAUAAUGAAAAGUCCGUGUUUUGAAGUUUUCAGAUUAUUUCUGUAGUUAUAUUUCUCCACUCUUUCUCGAAUUUUAUAUGGAAAUACGAAAUUGCAAAUCUAAGUGAAAAACCUUUGUGUAAAACAGGUGAGUGGAGAAGACGUCCUGGUUUCUCCAAAUAACUAAGAUCUAAUAAAGAAACAAAUCUUAAUUAAAAUAAAGAUACCGAGCACAUGUUGUUGUGUUAGUUUAAAACGAUAAUAAAAAGAAAGAAAUUAAGUCUCGA